GAACGCAAGUUGCGCCCGAAGCCAUUAGGCAGAGGGCACGCCUGCCUGGGCGUCACAUGUCGUUGCCCCACCUUCUCUUUCGAGAGUUUGUUGGGACGGAUGAUGGCCUCCCGUGUGCUUAGCCAUGCGGUUGGCAUAAAAACUAAGUCCUCGGCGAACAUGCCACGACAAUCGGUGGUUUUCCAAACCUCGGUGGCCUGUCGUGUGCGUUUAUCUUUUGAGGUCUCCCAUUCCCCCUUGUGCAUCGCUUUGGCGAUGCUUUCAACGGGACCCCAGGUCAGGCGGGGUUACCCGCUGAAUUUAAG
rnacentral:misc_RNA from 1 species